AAAACACAAUGCAAGUCGAGCGCCCCGCAAGGGGAGCGGCAGACGGGUGAGUAACGCGUGGGAAUCUACCGUGCCCUACGGAAUAGCUCCGGGAAACUGGAAUUAAUACCGUAUACGCCCUACGGGGGAAAGAUUUAUCGGGGUAUGAUGAGCCCGCGUUGGAUUAGCUAGUUGGUGGGGUAAAGGCCUACCAAGGCGACGAUCCAUAGCUGGUCUGAGAGGAUGAUCAGCCACAUUGGGACUGAGACACGGCCCAAACUCCUACGGGAGGCAGCAGUGGGGAAUAUUGGACAAUGGGCGCAAGCCUGAUCCAGCCAUGCCGCGUGAGUGAUGAAGGUCUUAGGAUUGUAAAGCUCUUUCACCGGAGAAGAUAAUGACGGUAUCCGGAGAAGAAGCCCCGGCUAACUUCGUGCCAGCAGCCGCGGUAAUACGAAGGGGGCUAGCGUUGUUCGGAAUUACUGGGCGUAAAGCGCACGUAGGCGGAUAUUUAAGUCAGGGGUGAAAUCCCAGAGCUCAACUCUGGAACUGCCUUUGAUACUGGGUAUCUUGAGUAUGGAAGAGGUGAGUGGAAUUCCGAGUGUAGAGGUGAAAUUCGUAGAUAUUCGGAGGAACACCAGUGGCGAAGGCGGCUCACUGGUCCAUUACUGACGCUGAGGUGCGAAAGCGUGGGGAGCAAACAGGAGUAGAUACCCUGGUAGUCCACGCCGUAACGAUGAAUGUUAGCCGUCGGGCAGUAUACUGUUCGGUGGCGCAGCUAACGCAUUAACAUUCCGCCCUGGGGGAGUACGGUCGCAGAUUUAAAACUCAAGGAAUUGACGGGGGCCGCACAAGCGGUGGGAGCAUGGUGGUUUAAUUCGAAGCAACGCGCAGAAAUCCUUACCAGCUCUUGACAUCGGGGUAUGGGGCAGUGGAGACAUGUCUUCAGUCGGCUUGCCCUAGACAGUGCCUGCCAUGGCCUGUCGUUCAGCUCAUGUCCUGGAAUGUUGGCUAAGUCGCAACGAGGCUAACCUGGCAUUAGCUGCAGCA
rnacentral:rRNA from 1 species